UACGGGGGGAGCAAGCGUUGUUCGGAUUUACUGGGCGUAAAGGGCGGGUAGGCGGCCACCGCAGGUCAGUUGUGAAAUCUCCGGGCUUAACCCGGAAAGGUCAACUGAUACUGCGGGGCUAGAGUGCAGAAGGGGCAACUGGAAUUCUCGGUGUAGCGGUGAAAUGCGUAGAUAUCGAGAGGAACACCUGCGGCGAAGGCGGGUUGCUGGGCUGACACUGACGCUGAGCUGCGAAAGCUAGGGGAGCGAACGGG
rnacentral:rRNA from 1 species